rnacentral:rRNA from 1 species
GAGAUUCCCCCAGUAGCGGCGAGCGAACGGGGAGCAGCCCAGAGUCUGAAUCAGUGUGUGUGUUAGUGGAAGCGUCUGGAAAGGCGCGCGAUACAGGGUGACAGCCCCGUACACAAAAAUGCACAUGCUGUGAGCUCGAUGAGUAGGGCGGGACACGUGGUAUCCUGUCUGAAUAUGGGGGGACCAUCCUCCAAGGCUAAAUACUCCUGACUGACCGAUAGUGAACCAGUACCGUGAGGGAAAGGCGAAAAGAACCCCGGCGAGGGGAGUGAAAAAGAACCUGAAACCGUGUACGUACAAGCAGUGGGAGCACGCUUAGGCGUGUGACUGCGUACCUUUUGUAUAAUGGGUCAGCGACUUAUAUUCUGUAGCAAGGUUAACCGAAUAGGGGAGCCGAAGGGAAACCGAGUCUUAACUGGGCGUUAAGUUGCAGGGUAUAGACCCGAAACCCGGUGAUCUAGCCAUGGGCAGGUUGAAGGUUGGGUAACACUAACUGGAGGACCGAACCGACUAAUGUUGAAAAAUUAGCGGAUGACUUGUGGCUGGGGGUGAAAGGCCAAUCAAACCGGGAGAUAGCUGGUUCUCCCCGAAAGCUAUUUAGGUAGCGCCUCGUGAAUUCAUCUCCGGGGGUAGAGCACUGUUUCGGCAAGGGGGUCAUCCCGACUUACCAACCCGAUGCAAACUGCGAAUACCGGAGAAUGUUAUCACGGGAGACACACGGCGGGUGCUAACGUCCGUCGUGAAGAGGGAAACAACCCAGACCGCCAGCUAAGGUCCCAAAGUCAUGGUUAAGUGGGAAACGAUGUGGGAAGGCCCAGACAGCCAGGAUGUUGGCUUAGAAGCAGCCAUCAUUUAAAGAAAGCGUAAUAGCUCACUGGUCGAGUCGGCCUGCGCGGAAGAUGUAACGGGGCUAAACCAU